rnacentral:rRNA from 1 species
GAUGAACGCUGGCGGCGUGCCUAAUACAUGCAAGUCGAGCGAACAGACGAGGAGCUUGCUCCUCUGACGUUAGCGGCAGACGGGUGAGUAACACGUGGAUAACCUACCUAUAAGACUGGGAUAACUUCGGGAAACCGGAGCUAAUACCGGAUAAUAUAUUGAACCGCAUGGUUCAAUAGUGAAAGACGGUUUUGCUGUCACUUAUAGAUGGAUCCGCGCCGCAUUAGCUAGUUGGUAAGGUAACGGCUUACCAAGGCAACGAUGCGUAGCCGACCUGAGAGGGUGAUCGGCCACACUGGAACUGAGACACGGUCCAGACUCCUACGGGAGGCAGCAGUAGGGAAUCUUCCGCAAUGGGCGAAAGCUUGACGGAGCAACGCCGCGUGAGUGAUGAAGGUCUUCGGAUCGUAAAACUCUGUUAUUAGGGAAGAACAAAUGUGUAAGUAACUAUGCACGUCUUGACGGUACCCAAUCAGAAAGCCACGGCUAACUACGUG